rnacentral:rRNA from 1 species
GACGAACGCUGGCGGCGCGCCUAACACAUGCAAGUCGAACGAGCGAGAGAGAGCUUGCUUUCUCAAGCGAGUGGCGAACGGGUGAGUAACGCGUGAGGAACCUGCCUCAAAGAGGGGGACAACAGUUGGAAACGACUGCUAAUACCGCAUAAGCCCACGGCUCGGCAUCGAGCAGAGGGAAAAGGAGCAAUCCGCUUUGAGAUGGCCUCGCGUCCGAUUAGCUAGUUGGUGAGGUAACGGCCCACCAAGGCGACGAUCGGUAGCCGGACUGAGAGGUUGAACGGCCACAUUGGGACUGAGACACGGCCCAGACUCCUACGGGAGGCAGCAGUGGGGAAUAUUGCACAAUGGGGGAAACCCUGAUGCAGCGACGCCGCGUGGAGGAAGAAGGUCUUCGGAUUGUAAACUCCUGUUGUUGGGGAAGAUAAUGACGGUACCCAACAAGGAAGUGACGGCUAACUACGUGCCAGCAGCCGCGGUAAAACGUAGGUCACAAGCGUUGUCCGGAAUUACUGGGUGUAAAGGGAGCGCAGGCGGGAAGACAAGUUGGAAGUGAAAUCUAUGGGCUCAACCCAUAAACUGCUUUCAAAACUGUUUUUCUUGAGUAGUGCAGAGGUAGGCGGAAUUCCCGGUGUAGCGGUGGAAUGCGUAGAUAUCGGGAGGAACACCAGUGGCGAAGGCGGCCUACUGGGCACCAACUGACGCUGAGGCUCGAAAGUGUGGGUAGCAAACAGGAUUAGAUACCCUGGUAGUCCACACCGUAAACGAUGAUUACUAGGUGUUGGGGGAUUGACCCCUUCAGUGCCGCAGUUAACACAAUAAGUAAUCCACCUGGGGAGUACGACCGCAAGGUUGAAACUCAAAGGAAUUGACGGGGGCCCGCACAAGCAGUGGAGUAUGUGGUUUAAUUCGACGCAACGCGAAGAACCUUACCAAGUCUUGACAUCCCUUGACGAUGCUGGAAACAGUAUUUCUCUUCGGAGCAAGGAGACAGGUGGUGCAUGGUUGUCGUCAGCUCGUGUCGUGAGAUGUUGGGUUAAGUCCCGCAACGAGCGCAACCCUUAUGGUCAGUUACUACGCAAGAGGACUCUGGCCAGACUGCCGUUGACAAAACGGAGGAAGGUGGGGAUGACGUCAAAUCAUCAUGCCCUUUAUGACUUGGGCUACACACGUACUACAAUGGCGUUAAACAAAGAGAAGCAAGACCGCGAGGUGGAGCAAAACUCAGAAACAACGUCCCAGUUCGGACUGCAGGCUGCAACUCGCCUGCACGAAGUCGGAAUUGCUAGUAAUCGUGGAUCAGCAUGCCACGGUGAAUACGUUCCCGGGCCUU